rnacentral:rRNA from 1 species
UGAAACCGUUCGGGGAUAAACGGACGGAGCCCGUGAAUCCGGGCGCGCGGAAUUCAGGAUCGACCGACGUGCCGCGCGCGGCACGUCGGUCGAUUCGAUAUUUCCGCCGCCGACCGUCAUCGGUGCGGACGUCGCGACCCGUUCGCGGUCGAUCUGACGAGACUGCGUUUCAAGUUCGUCGUCGCGCGGAAACGCCUUCGCGGGUGGUACCGCGCGUCGUCGAUGGCGCGUUUCUCGGACCGGCUCGUGCGGACGGUAGCUGUGAACGCGCGGGUAAUCGACGUGGCCGAUGCGGGCGCGCGCGCGCCGGUUCGCGUCUUUCGGGAGGCGAGUCGGACGUGCGCGCGUACGCUAGCGCCGACGUCGACGCCGGUCAGCGACGAAUCUUCGGGCCU